rnacentral:rRNA from 1 species
CCGUUGCCGGCGACCGGCGCACGGGUGAGUAACACGUAUGCAACCUGCCCGUGGCAGGGGGAGUAAGCGGGGGAAACCCCGUCUAAUACCGCGUAACGCGGCCUAGGGACAUCCCAAGGCCGCCAAAGGGAGCAAUCCCGGCCACGGAUGGGCAUGCGGCGCAUUAGCUAGUCGGCGGGGUAACGGCCCACCGAGGCGACGAUGCGUAGGGGUUCUGAGAGGAAGGCCCCCCCANACUGGUACUGAGACACGGACCAGACUCCUACGGGAGGCAGCAG